AACUUUAUACGAAAUAAAAAAAAAGAAAAAAAAGAGGUCCAUCCGAGGCGUGGUUAUUGCUAGUUGAAAACUAAUCCCAAUACCCCGCGCUGACGCCCUUCACUGGGCGGCAUGCGCAAUUUUUGUUAGCUCCUACGGGGG